rnacentral:rRNA from 1 species
CAGAUGCUAAUACCGGAUAAAAGCUACUUCGCAUGAAAGAAGUUUAAAAGGCGGCGUAAAAGCUGUCGCUAAAGGAUGGACCUGCGAUGCAUUAGCUAGUUGGUAAGGUAACGGCUUACCAAGGCGAUGAUGCAUAGCCCGAGUUGAGAGACUGAUCGGCCACAUUGGGACUGAGACACGGCCCAAACUCCUACGGGAGGCAGCAGUAGGGAAUCUUCCACAAUGGACGAAAGUCUGAUGGAGCAACGCCGCGUGAGUGAAGAAGGUUUUCGGAUCGUAAAGCUCUGUUGUUGGUGAAGAAGGAUAGAGGUAGUAACUGGCCUUUAUUUGACGGUAAUCAACCAGAAAGUCACGGCUAACUACGUGCCAGCAGCCGCGGUAAU